rnacentral:rRNA from 1 species
CCCUUAGACGUUCUGGGCCGCACGCGCGCUACACUGACCGGUGCAACAAGCAUCCGUCCUUGGCCGACAGGCCUGGGUAAUCUUUUGAACUUUCGUCGUGAUGGGGCUAGACCCUUGCAAUUAUUGGUCUCCAACGAGGAAUUCCUAGUAAACGCAAGUCAUCAGCUUGCAUUGAUUACGUCCCUGCCCUUUGUACACACCGCCCGUCGCACCUACCGAUUGAAUGGUCCGGUGAAAUCUUCGGAUUGAGACUUUGAUUUCUUCACGGAAAACGCUGUUUUAAGAAGUUGAUUAAACCUUACCAUUUAGAGGAAGGUGAAGUCGUAACA